rnacentral:rRNA from 1 species
UGGUGCCUUCGGGAACUGUGAGACAGGUGCUGCAUGGCUGUCGUCAGCUCGUGUUGUGAAAUGUUGGGUUAAGUCCCGCAACGAGCGCAACCCUUAUCCUUUGUUGCCAGCGGUUAGGCCGGGAACUCAAAGGAGACUGCCAGUGAUAAACUGGAGGAAGGUGGGGAUGACGUCAAGUCAUCAUGGCCCUUACGACCAGGGCUACACACGUGCUACAAUGGCGCAUACAAAGAGAAGCAAUCUCGCGAGAGCUAGCGGACCUCAUAAAGUGCGUCGUAGUCCGGAUUGGAGUCUGCAACUCGACUCCAUGAAGUCGGAAUCGCUAGUAAUCGUGAAUCAGAAUGUCACGGUGAAUACGUUCCCGGG